GGCUCGAGGACGAACGCUGGCGGCGUGCCUAAUACAUGCAAGUCGAACGGUCUUUCUAUGGAAGCUUGCUUCCACUGAGAAGAUAGUGGCGAACGGGUGAGUAACACGUGGGUAACCUGCCCAUAAGAGGGGGGAUAACAUCCGGAAACGGGUGCUAAUACCGCAUAGUUUUCUUGAUCGCAUGAUUGAGAAAGGAAAGACGGCCUUUGUGCUGUCGCUUAUGGAUGGACCCGCGGCGUAUUAGUUAGUUGGUGAGGUAACGGCUCACCAAGACGAUGAUACGUAGCCGACCUGAGAGGGUGAUCGGCCACAUUGGGACUGAGACACGGCCCAAACUCCUACGGGAGGCAGCAGUAGGGAAUCUUCCGCAAUGGACGAAAGUCUGACGGAGCAACGCCGCGUGAGUGAAAGAAGGUUUUCGGAUCGUAAAACUCUGUUGUCAGAGAAGAACAAGUUGGAGAGUAACUGCUCCAGCCUUGACGGUAUCUGACCAGAAAGCCACGGCUAACUACGUGCCAGCCGCCGC
rnacentral:rRNA from 1 species